rnacentral:rRNA from 1 species
UCGAGAAUUUUUCACAAUGGGCGAAAGCCUGAUGGAGCGACGCCGCGUGGGGGAUGAAGGGCUUCGGUCCGUAAACCCCUGUCAUUUGCGAACAAACCUUUCCACCUAACACGUGGAGAGCUGAUUGUAGCGAAAGAGGAAGGGACGGCUAACUCUGUGCCAGCAGCCGCGGUAAUACAGAGGUCCCAAGCGUUGUUCGGAUUUACUGGGCGUAAAGGGUGCGUAGGUGGCGAGGUAAGUUCGAUGUGAAAUCUCCGAGCUCAACUCGGAAAUGGCAUUGAAUACUAUCCCGCUUGAGGGUCGGAGGGGAGACUGGAAUUCUCGGUGUAGCAGUGAAAUGCGUAGAUAUCGAGAGGAACACCAGUGGCGAAGGCGAGUCUCUGGACGACUCCUGACACUGAGGCACGAAAGCUGGGGGAGCAAACAG